rnacentral:lncRNA from 13 species
AUGUUACCUACCCCCAGGAGUGUGAUUAAGCGGCUCAGGCCUGGAGUAAUGUGGACUGGCUGUGCCAAGAGACUCUCCAAGGUGCAGUCUUUGAACUCAAGAAGCCAGAACCCAUGUCUGUUCAGUUGUCCUAUGCAUCCAACAUGCUCAGCACAUAGUCCUUCUUCACACACCUGUGAAAUGGCAGCGCUUGCAUUCUUGCCUCUGCUUUACCCCAGAACAGAGCUUAACAGAUUCUUUCCUCCAUCUGGCUGAUCCGUUGGGGGCAGUGCAGCAUGGUGACUUCUUCCAUCAGCCUCUUUGCAAGAUACGUCCAUGACCAACAGCAUGUAACAAAUGUCCUGGGUUAUUUCCUAGACCAUCUUCUCCUUAACUGGAAAGAGUACACAACAGCAGGAGCCCCAUGAAGUGGAUGGAGCCAGGACUCCUAGAAAUAAGGGUACAAGAGUGAAAUUAUACUUCCACUCCCCAUCUUCCCAGGCUGUGUGUCUACAGGCCAGCUGCUUUCCUCUAAUAACAUCAUUCUGUUCAUCUGCAAGGUGGAGAUGGUACAGUAUUUGUUCUGCACAUACACCAAUGGAUUACUCUACAUUUACACUUACUUUCUAUUGAUGGAGAAAAUCCUGAAUAGGCAAUGAACGUCUUACAGAAAAUCAAUAAAUAUCUCUAUGUGUUCA